UACGUAGGCAGCGAGCGUUGUUCGGAAUUACUGGGCGUAAAGAGUGUGUAGGCGGUGUUCUAAGUUCGGUGUGAAAUCUCCUGGCUCAACUGGGAGGGUGCGCCGGAAACUGGAGUGCUUGAGCGUGGGAGAGGAAAGCGGAAUUCCUGGUGUAGCGGUGAAAUGCGUAGAUAUCAGGAGGAACACCUGUGGUGUAGACGGCUUUCUGGACCAUAACUGACGCUGAGGCACGAAAGCGUGGGUAGCAAACAGG
rnacentral:rRNA from 1 species